UCGACUCUGCGAUAUGACCUCCCAAUAAUUCGGCGUUGAGGCUCUAAGGUACACAACAACUCCACUAUGAGCUUACUUGAUCAGCUCUGGGACGACACUGUCGCCGGUCCUCGCCCGGAUUCCGGCCUCGGAAAGCUUCGUAAACAGUCCAGCUUAGGCUUUUUAUCCGUCAACUCUGCCGACGUUAACAAGGUAUCGGACGGUGGGAAUAUGAGAUCAGGCGGGGAUACUCCGGCGAGAGUUACGCGAAGCAUAACGAUUCUGAAGCCGCCUGUAGUCGGAGAUCAGAGUGAGACGCCGCCAGCUUCGCCGGCAGGAUCUACAACUCCGAAUUCUCCGUUUUCGAGAGGAGGGUCCUUCCAAUUCCGUAGAAGGUCCGUGUUGGAAACCUAUGAGAAAGCAAGCGGAAUCGGAUUCAAGAGCCCUCGUCCUCCUUAUGACAUAUGAGAUUUCCUUAGCGGAAAUAGUCACUAGCUGUUACAUAUGUACUUUGCUUCCCUGUUCAAGAAAUGAGGAGUGCAUUGGAAUGUUAUUACUAUGUGAGUGUGUGCUUUUCGUAUGUAACGAACUGUCUGAACCUGUGAGAUGUUUUGCACUUGUUUUCCGUGUCAGUAGCGAACAAGUUCAUGGAGGCUUCUAUCCGUACCUGUAAUAUAAGUGGUUUGCAAAAUGUUCUAACGACUACUUAUCUACUACAUUUAUGUGGUGUUUGUAUUA